rnacentral:rRNA from 1 species
AUUGAACGCUGGCGGCAGGCCUAACACAUGCAAGUCGAACGAGUGGCGGACGGGUGAGUAAUGUCUGGGAAACUGCCCGAUGGAGGGGGAUAACUACUGGAAACGGUAGCUAAUACCGCAUACCAUCGGAUGUGCCCAGCUGGGAUUAGCUGGUAGGUGGGGUAACGGCUCACCUAGGCGACGAUCCCUAGCUGGUCUGAGAGGAUGACCAGCCACACUGGAACUGUGUCACGGUCCAGACUCCUACGGAAGGCAGCAGUGGGGAAUAUUGCACAAUGGGCGCAAGCCUGAUGCAGCCAGGCAGCGUGUAUGAAGAAGGCCUUAGGGUUGGCAAGUACUUUCAGCGGGGGGGCGUUACCCGCAGAAGAAGCACCGGCUAACUCCGUGCCAGCAGCCGCGGUAAUUC